AUGUUAGCGGCGGACGGGUGAGUAACACGUGGGUUACCUGCCUGUAAGACUGGGAUAACUCCGGGAAACCGGAGCUAAUACCGGAUAGUUCCUUGAACCGCAUGGUUCAAGGAUGAAAGACGGUUUCGGCUGUCACUUACAGAUGGACCCGCGGCGCAUUAGCUAGUUGGUGAGGUAACGGCUCACCAAGGCGACGAUGCGUAGCCAACCUGAGAGGGUGAUCGGCCACACUGGGACUGAGACACGGCCCAGACUCCUACGGGAGGCAGCAGUAGGGAAUCUUCCGCAAUGGACGAAAGUCUGACGGAGCAACGCCGCGUGAGUGAUGAAGGUUUUCGGAUCGUAAAGCUCUGUUGUUAGGGAAGAACAAGUGCAAGAGUAACUGCUUGCACCUUGACGGUACCUAACCAGAAAGCCACGGCUAACUACGUGCCAGCAGCCGCGGUAAUACGUAGGUGGCAAGCGUU
rnacentral:rRNA from 1 species